rnacentral:tRNA from 1 species
GGUAAAAUGGCUGAUAAAAGUAGUAAACUGUAAAUUUACAAAUGAAAUAUGAAUUUCUUUUACCA